GGCUGUGGCCUCCUUGUCAAAGCUUGAUGUUGUCAGAUCUCAGAAGCAAAGCAGGGCUAGGCCUGGUUAGUACUUGGUUGGGAGACUGCUGGGAAUACCAGGUGGCACAGUAG
rnacentral:rRNA from 1 species